UACGAAGGGAGCUAGCGUUGUUCGGAAUCACUGGGCGUAAAGCGCACGUAGGCGGAUUUGCCAGUCAGGGGUGAAAUCCCGGGGCUCAACCUCGGAACUGCCUUUGAUACAGCAAGUCUUGAGUAUGGGAGAGGUGAGUGGAACUGCGAGUGUAGAGGUGAAAUUCGUAGAUAUUCGCAAGAACACCAGUGGCGAAGGCGGCUCACUGGCCCAUACGUGACGCUGAGGCACGAAAGCGUGGGGAGCAAACAGG
rnacentral:rRNA from 1 species